rnacentral:rRNA from 1 species
UACGUAGGGGGCAAGCGUUGUCCGGAUUUACUGGGCGUAAAGAGCGUGUAGGCGGCCACGCAGGUCCGUUGUGAAAACUGGAGGCUCAACCUCCAGCUGUCGACGGAAACCGUGUGGCUAGAGUCCGGAAGAGGAGAGUGGAAUUCCUGGUGUAGAGGUGAAAUUCGUAGAUAUCAAGCGGAACACCGGUGGCGAAGGCGGCCUUCUGGACGAUGACUGACGCUGAGACGCGAAAGCGUGGGGAGCAAACAGG